CAGUAGGUACUUAAUGCGUGUUCCAGUUCAAAAAUAUUCAUUUUGUUUUCCAGGUAAAUCUUGCCAGAUCUUUCCGGACUGCAGACCCAGGAGCGCACGGAUCACACCAACGCCACAGAACCAUGUCGGACUCAGAGACUGCAGCUCCUGCCGAGACCCCUGUCCCAGCACCCUGUGUGGCCAUCAAGGCAGAUCUAGACAAAUGUGUAAAGGAGAAUGGCGAGGAAGCAUGUAAGGAGCUAAUGGAGGCGUUUGCUGCCUGUGUGAAGAGCAAUGCUGAGGCGUCAUGAGGAGCUCAACAUGCAGGAAAAGGUUUCACUGCACUGAGUCCUCCACCUUCCCAGCAUUCCCUGCAGCUCAUGGCACUGGACUAAACUAUGGGGUUUGGGGUUUGGCAGCAGAGACCAUAUUUGUGUCUCUUCUCUUCUCUACCCCCCCUGUGAAGCUUAAAUAGAUUCCUCCAACCACCAACCUCCCCUCCCCUUUUGUGGCUGAUUGUAUUGAUCUGAUCUGUAGACAGUUUGAGAUUUGAUGUAAAUGAUGUGUCUCAGAUGCUUUCAAAAUGGAAUAAAGAUUUUAAAAAUG